rnacentral:rRNA from 1 species
CUAUGGGGUGCUCCAGUGAGGAAUAUUGCACAAUGGGGGGAACCCUGAUGCAGCAACGCCGCGUGGAGGAUGACGCAUUUCGGUGUGUAAACUCCUUUUAUAUGUCAAGAAAAUGACGGUAGCAUAUGAAUAAGCACCGGCUAACUCCGUGCCAGCAGCCGCGGUAAUACGGAGGGUGCAAGCGUUACUCGGAAUCACUGGGCGGAAAGGACGCGUAGGCGGGUUGGAAAGUCAGGUGUGAAAUCCUACAGCUUAACUGUAGAACUGCACUUGAAACUUCUAAUCUAGAGUAUGGGAGGGGGAGAUGGAAUUAGUGGUGUAGGGGUAAAAUCCGUAGAUAUCACUAGGAAUACCUAAAGCGAAGGCGAUCUCCUGGAACAUUACUGACGCUAAGGCGUGAAAGCGUGGGGAGCAAACAGGAUUAGAUACCCCUGUAGUC